GACGGGAUCCUUUAGCUCAGCGCGACGGUGUGCUCAUAGAGAGAUAUCGAUUCUCCCGUGAGGGUAUUAUUUACUUAACCAACUUGUUGGAUCCUUAUGUUAAGAGUUCCACUCACCGUAGUCGGGCAUUAACAACUGCACAAACUGUGUGCAUUGCCUUGCGUUUCUUUGCGAGUGGCACGUUUCUGUACGCUGUUGGAGACGCAGAGAACAUUGACAAAAGUGCUGUCUGCCGUUCCAUUCGCAAAGUAUACCUGGCACUCAAGCAUUUCCUGGGUGUGUUUGUGGUUUUUCCAAGCCACUUAAGACCACAGGUUGUCAAACAGGGCUUUUUUUCUAUUGCAGGUACAUUAAAUUCGAUAAUGAAUGUGAUGCAAUCAUGACCUAUGUCUGUAACUAUAGCUCGAUUGUCCGCAGGCUUCCCUAAUGUGAUUGGUACCAUAGACUGCACACACAUUGCGAUCAAGGCCCCCCCAGGCCCCAAUGAAGGGGAUUUCGUCAAUCGAAAGGGGGUUCACAGUAUAAAUGUGCAGGGGCCUACGAUGGGAUUCUCCUUGGAGACAGGGGUUAUGCAUGCAGGCAGAACUUCCCUGACCCCAACCCUGGGCCACGAACCCGCUACAAUGCAGCUCUAGCCAGGACAAGGGCACGCAUUGAAAUGACCUUUGGGCAAAUAAAGGGAAGAUUUCAGUGUCUGAAAAGUCUGAGGGUUGCACCUGACAGGGCAUGUGACAUUAUUGUUGUAUGUGCCGUACUGCACAACAUUGCCACCAUCAGAAAGGAGAGGACUCCUGUGGUGGAGGUGCAGCCUGAUGAUGACCUCCAGCCAGUGCACUUGGACCAACCUAGUGGCAGAGCUGCACGGGACAGAAUUGUGCAACACUAUUUCGAAUAUUAAAAACAUGACAAAACAUAUUUUUCAUUGAAAUUUAUUUGAGCAUCUUUUUCUGUCUCAUCAAAAAAAAA